UACAGAGGGGGCAAGCGUUGUUCGGAAUUACUGGGCGUAAAGGGCGCGUAGGCGGCCUGUUAAGUCGGACGUGAAAUCCCUCGGCUCAACCGGGGAACUGCGUCCGAUACUGGCGGGCUUGAAUUCGGGAGAGGGAUGUGGAAUUCCAGGUGUAGCGGUGAAAUGCGUAGAUAUCUGGAGGAACACCGGUGGCGAAGGCGGCAUCCUGGACCGACAUUGACGCUGAGGCGCGAAAGCCAGGGGAGCAAAGCGGG
rnacentral:rRNA from 1 species